rnacentral:rRNA from 1 species
UACGUAGGGGGCAAGCGUUGUCCGGAAUCAUUGGGCGUAAAGAGCGUGUAGGCGGCCCGAUAAGUCCGCCGUGAAAGUCCAGGGCUCAACCCUGGAAUGCCGGUGGAAACUGUCGGGCUAGAGUCCGGAAGAGGCGAGUGGAAUUCCUGGUGUAGCGGUGAAAUGCGCAGAUAUCAGGAGGAACACCAACGGCGAAGGCAGCUCGCUGGGACGGUACUGACGCUGAGGCGCGAAAGCGUGGGGAGCGAACAGG